AGCGAACGCUGGCGGCAGGCCUAACACAUGCAAGUCGAACGGAUCCUUCGGGAUUAGUGGCGAACGGGUGAGUAAUGUAUCGGAACGUGCCCAGUCGUGGGGGAUAACGUAGUGAAAAUUACGCUAAUACCGCAUACGAUCUAUGGAUGAAAGCGGGGGAUCGCAAGACCUCGCGCGAUUGGAGCGGCCGAUAUCAGGUUAGGUAGUUGGUGGGGUAAAGGCCCACCAAGCCAACGAUCUGUAGCUGGUCUGAGAGGACGACCAGCCACACUGGAACUGAGACACGGUCCAGACUCCUACGGGAGGCAGCAGUGGGGAAUUUUGGACAAUGGGCGAAAGCCUGAUCCAGCCAUUCCGCGUGCAGGAUGAAGGCCCUCGGGUUGUAAACUGCUUUUGUACAGAACGAAAAGGUUUCUACUAAUACUAGGAGCUCAUGACGGUACUGUAAGAAUAAGCACCGGCUAACUACGUGCCAGCCGCCGCAGUAA
rnacentral:rRNA from 1 species